CAGCAGCCGCGGUAAUACGAAGGGGGCUAGCGUUGCUCGGAAUGACUGGGCGUAAAGGGCGCGUAGGCGGAUUGUUUAGUUAGGCGUGAAAUUCCUGGGCUUAACCUGGGGGCUGCGCUUAAUACAGGCAGUCUAGAGUGAGGAAGAGGGUUGUGGAAUUCCCAGUGUAGAGGUGAAAUUCGUAGAUAUUGGGAAGAACACCGGUGGCGAAGGCGGCAACCUGGUCCUUGACUGACGCUGAGGCGCGAAAGCGUGGGGAGCAAACAGGAUUAGAUACCCCCGUAGUCCCUGUCUCUUAUAC
rnacentral:rRNA from 1 species